UAUUAUUAAAAUUAAUCUCACCUGCUUCUUUUUACCUUUGAUCCUACCCCAAGGCCUGCCAGAAUGAAAAUAAAGAACAAAGACAACAAAGAAAACAGCCGACAGGAACAGGAUCUUGGGAGCCAAAUAUCAGGGAUCCAAGGAAGCCCGGAAGUGACCUUGAGACCACUCUCAGGAGGCCCUGUCAGAAGAGCCCCUCCCUCUCUGCAUAAAGGUAGCGCUGGUUUUAUUGUUGUUGUUACUGUUAUAUGGCUUCCCCGAAAACACCCAGACAGGUUUAAGAGCACAGCUCACCCAAAUUCCCCCAUGCAAGCCAUCUGUACCUAAUCAAGCCUCUCUGUGUUUGCUUUGAGGGAUACCUGGUUGCUUUUCCUGAAAUCCCUUCUCCAGGAAACUGGUCCCAGCUCAAAUGCCAGCUCAUUCCAGGAAGACUAAUACAGCAAGUUAUUUUUUCUAUAGAUAUUUACCUAGUGCCACAAAGCCACGUGUCAGACCUCAUCUAGGGACCAGGGCAUAGCAGUGAACAGCACUUCAUGAAGCUCCAUCCCAUUCUGCCUUUCUGGGUAUAAAUGAAGGAGUCCUCAGAGGGUGGGGUGGUGCCUGCAAGGAGGCUGCUCAGGGAGCAUGUGUUUUGACCAGUGAACAACCGGCUGGACCAAGGGGUCAGGCUCUAGUGGUGGCGUUGGACCCUGACUCAGCACUGUGUCAAAGCAAUGGCGAGAGGUCCCUGCCUGCGUGUUCAUUGGCGGCAGGGUCUGCAUGCCUCCGCCUGCUCUCAGCAAGGAGCCCACUUUCCUCUCUGGGCUCAGCUCCAGUUCUCGGGCUUUCUCCCUCCCCGUCUGCUUCUUAUCUCUGUCUCCAGUGUUUAGAAAAUGUCAUCUUCAGCAGUCAGGGCCGUGAACAGCCGUGGGAGCAAGGAGAGGCUUGCAGCAAGGGAACAGGGGUCCUACCAGGGCCUGGCUUAGAGCACAAAGCUAGUCAGAGCUGGAGGGACCCUUGGAGGCCAGCCACUCCUGCCAGACACCUGCCUGUUCCCUCCCCGACCCCCACCUCACCUUAGAGAAUUGGAGAUUUGUAGUUUUGACAGGUGGGGGAGAGAAUGAGACUCUUUCUCCAUCCCCAAACUUCCUCCCACCAGCACUAACUCAAGGGAUAUCCACUCUGUUUUACUUCAUCAGAACAAGAAGACCGAUUGGAUCUGCUUAGGAAGACAAACCUCCCAGGGGCACGCUAUUCAGUCCACUCCUGCUGGGGACAGAAGACCUUUGGGCAGCCCUGGCUCUGAGACUUGCCCUUUCUUGGGGCAGCACAGGUUUUAAAGACUAGGUGCCCUGGGGUGACAGACAGAGACCCCCAACCUGCUUUCCCUAACAUUCCAGGAGGACCCAAAUCACUGGCUCUUCCAGGCUCUUGGCCACUUUCCAGUUCCCAUGAGGAUUAAAAGGAAGAAGUGGACUUUAACUCCAGCGAUGGGACUGUGGAUGGAUUGAGGGUGGGAGUGCCCUGAGACCCAAGGAGUCCGCCAGCCGGUUAGUCAUAGAAAAACACCUCCCCCUUGGCUUAGGUGUGUACCUAGUGGAGGCAGAGCCGAGAGACAGAUGUUUUCUCCAAAUCUUUCCAGCCUUAUGACUCUUAUAAUUAGACCUGGAAAA